UCUCUAAGGAACUCGGCAAAAUGACUCCGUAACUUCGGGAGAAGGAGUGCCUUAUUUCUAAGGUUGCAAUAACAAGAUCCAAGCAACUGUUUAUCAAAAACACAGGUCUCCGCUAAGUCGUAAGACGAUGUAUGGGGGCUGACGCCUGCCCAGUGCCAGAAGGUUAAAGAAGUUGGUUAGCAUUUUGCGAAGCUGAUAACUGAAGCCCUGGUGAACGGCGGCCGUAACAAUAACGGUCCUAAGGUAGCGAAAUUCCUUGUCGGGUAAGUUCCGACCCGCACGAAAGGCGUAAUGAUUUGGAUACUGUCUCGGAGAGGGACUCGGUGAAAUAGACUUGUCUGUGAAGAUGCGGACUACCUGCACCUGGACAGAAAGACCCUAUGAAGCUUUACUGUAACUUGAAAUUGAAAUUGGACUUUAUUUGCGCAGUAUAGGUGGGAGGCGUUGAGAAUAUUCUUGCGGGAGUAUUGGAGCCAUCAGUGAGAUACCACUCUUGUAAUGUUAGAUUUCUAACUUUGUAUCAUUAUCUGGUCAAAGAACAGUUUCAGGCGGGCAGUUUGACUGGGGCGGUCGCCUCCCAAAUGGUAACGGAGGCGCACAAAGGUUUCCUCUGAACGGGUAGAAAUCGUAUCUAGAGUGUAAAGGCAUAAGGAAGCUUGACUGUGAGACCUACAAGUCGAGCAGGACGAAAGUCGGUCUUAGUGAUCUGACGGUGCUGAGUGGAAAGGCCGUCACUCAACGGAUAAAAGUUACUCUAGGAUAACAGGCUGAUCUCUCCCAAGAGUUCACAUCGACGGGGAGGUUUGGCACCUCGAUGUCGGCUCAUCGCAUCCUGGGGCGGUAGUACGUCCCAAGGGUUGGGCUGUUCGCCCAUGAAAGCGGUACGCGAGCUGGGUUCAGAACGUCGUGAGACAGUUCGGUCCAUAUCCGGUGUAGGCGUUAGAAUAUUGAGAGGAGCCUUCUUUAGUACGAGAGGACCGAGAAGGACAUACCUCUGGUGUACCAGUUAUCGUGCCAACGGUAAACGCUGGGUAGCUAUGUAUGGAGAGGAUAACCGCUGAAAGCAUCUAAGUGGGAAGCCCACCUCAAGAUAAGUAUUCUCAUCACGUAAGUGAAUAAGGUCACGGUAAGACUAACCGUUUGAUAGGCAUUAAGUGUAAAUCUAGUAAUAGGUGAGCUGAGAUGUACUAACAGACCGAAGACUUG
rnacentral:rRNA from 1 species